AACGAACGUUAGCGGUGUGGAUUAGGCAUGCAAGUCGAGCGCGAAAGUCUUCGGACAAGUAAAGCGGCGAAAGGGUGAGUAACACGUAACCAACCUACCCCUGAGAUCGGAAUAACCGCUGGAAACGGCGGACAAUGCCGAAUGGUCCUCUAGGAAGGCAUCUUCUCAUAGGUAAACGGUGGCUUCGGCUGCUGCUCGGGGAGGGGUUGCGGCCUAUCAGCUUGUUGGCGGGGUAACGGCCCGACCAAGGCGAUGACGGGUAGCCGGUCUGAGAGGAUGGUCGCCACACUGGGACUGAGACACUGCCCAGACUCUACGGGAGCUGCAGUCGAGAAUCUUCCGCAAGUGGGCAAAGCCUAGACCGGAGCGACACCGCGUGCAGGAUGGAAGG
rnacentral:rRNA from 1 species